AGUGAACGCUGGCGGUAGGCCUAACACAUGCAAGUCGAACGGCAGCACAGUAAGCGCUUGCUCUUACGGGUGGCGAGUGGCGGACGGGUGAGGAAUACAUCGGAAUCUACUUUUUCGUGGGGGAUAACGUAGGGAAACUUACGCUAAUACCGCAUACGACCUACGGGUGAAAGCAGGGGAUCUUCGGACCUUGCGCGAUUGAAUGAGCCGAUGUCGGAUUAGCUAGUUGGCGGGGUAAAGGCCCACCAAGGCGACGAUCCGUAGCUGGUCUGAGAGGUUGAUCAGCCACCCUGGAACUGAGACACGGUCCAGACUCCUACGGGAGGCAGCAGUGGGGAAUAUUGGACAAUGGGCGCAAGCCUGAUCCAGCCAUACCGCGUGGGUGAAGAAGGCCUUCGGGUUGUAAAGCCCUUUUGUUGGGAAAGAAAAGCAGCAGGUUAAUACCCCGCUGUUCUGACGGUACCCAAAGAAUAAGCACCGGCUAACUUCGUG
rnacentral:rRNA from 1 species